AACGAACGCUGGCGGCAGGCUUAACACAUGCAAGUCGAGCGCAUCCUUCGGGGUGAGUGGCAGACGGGUGAGUAACGCGUGGGAACGUGCCCUUCAGUUCGGGAUAACCCAGGGAAACUUGGGCUAAUACCGGAUACGUGCGAGAGCAGAAAGAUUUAUCGCUGAAGGAUCGGCCCGCGUCUGAUUAGCUAGUUGGUGGGGUAAUGGCCCACCAAGGCGACGAUCAGUAGCUGGUCUGAGAGGAUGAUCAGCCACAUUGGGACUGAGACACGGCCCAGACUCCUACGGGAGGCAGCAGUGGGGAAUAUUGGACAAUGGGCGCAAGCCUGAUCCAGCCAUGCCGCGUGAGUGAUGAAGGCCUUAGGGUUGUAAAGCUCUUUCGUCCGGGACGAUAAUGACGGUACCGGAAGAAGAAGCCCCGGCUAACUUCGUGCCAGCAGCCGCGGUAAGAC
rnacentral:rRNA from 1 species